UUAUACCUCAGUUGUUGCUAUUCCUCUUCCUCUUCUUCCUUCUGCCAAACCUCACAAAAUCCACCUCAACCAUAGAAUCUCCCCUAACUCUAUCUCAUCUUAGUUAUAUCUUCCAACUAGGAGCUGAUUUCAACCUCAAAGUUGAACCCCAAAUUUGGACCGGACCCUAGCCAAGGCACGACUCACCACCUCCGUUGUCGGCCUCCACAAUGAAGCCACAGUCUUGACUUGCACCUCCAUUGUCGACUUCCACCACAAAGCCACGACACCUUCCUCAUCGAUCUUCACUGUCACUUGGACUUGCAGAUCUCCUUGAAAGUAAUGUAUUCACUCUUUUGGAUGAUAUUCGAUAUGAAACAACCUUGGACAGUCAAGGUUUGGCAAUUUGUAAGUAGUUAGUUAGUAAUAGGAUACCCUGGGUUAAUGGCUUUGGGUUGGAUUUAACUUUAAGAGUUCUUGAUACAUGCCUUCCUUGUUGGAGCUUGAAACACAGCUAUGCUAACUGAACCGUUUCACUUUGCAUAAUACUGAUGUUUUAAAAUUUUUGGUUAUUAAUGUUUAAUUGAUGUUUUAUCUGUAUGGUUUAUACACUAGUUGAUAGAUUUUUUAUUAGUAGCUUAACAUGUGUUAACAAAAUGGGUUUAUGAUGAUGGUCAGAAUGUGUUAACAAAAUGGAUUUUUUAUUGAUAGAUUUUAUGAUGGUCAGAAAUGGACACAAUUGUAAUUUUGGUUUGCUACAAUGAAAAAUGGGUAACCUCAAAGAAGAUGUGCACAUAUGAAGGGGGUAACUCAAAAGGCAUAAUAGUUUCGCGAAACAUCACGUCUGGUGAGCUUUUGGAAUGGGUGCAUAAGAUUGUUAAUACAAACAACAGGGAAGACAAGCUUUGUUUAAAGUUCUCAGUUUCAAUAUCCUCGAAUGAGUGUAAGCAUAUCAAGAUUGAGGACAAUGAUGAUGUUAAAUUUUUUUAUUAAGUACAUUUGUGACGUAAUUCCUUCAAAAGUGGCUCCUUUACUGGUGAGCAUAGAAGACAGAGGACUGACAAAUGUCAUAGGUGAUCAUAUACAUAUCACGACGGAUAUGAGUCAGAUGGCCUGUUCUUCAAAUGCCAUAGUUGAAAGCAAUGGUGAUGUACAUGGUGAUUUUGGAACAUAAUAUUUAGACAUGAUUGAUUUUAUAGGGGUGGAGGGGGUGCAUAGUGGUGAUAAUGGUAGGAAAUGAAUGGCUUGUAAAUGCACUCAGCCCCUCCUAUUUUGGCCCAUUUGGAGACAUUUUCACAAGUGGGUGUGGUGGGUUUCAGAACAACGUCUGAACUUUCUAUUCGACAUAAUUGGAGGCAAAUGGGUGAACAAAAAGUA